GACGAACGCUGGCGGCGUGCUUAACACAUGCAAGUCGAACGGAAAGGCCCUGCUUUUGUGGGGUGCUCGAGUGGCGAACGGGUGAGUAACACGUGAGUAACCUGCCCUUGACUUUGGGAUAACUUCAGGAAACUGGGGCUAAUACCGGAUAGGAGCUCCUGCUGCGUGGUGGGGGUUGGAAAGUUUCGGCGGUUGGGGAUGGACUCGCGGCUUAUCAGCUUGUUGGUGGGGUAGUGGCUUACCAAGGCUUUGACGGGUAGCCGGCCUGAGAGGGUGACCGGCCACAUUGGGACUGAGAUACGGCCCAGACUCCUACGGGAGGCAGCAGUGGGGAAUAUUGCACAAUGGGCGGAAGCCUGAUGCAGCAACGCCGCGUGCGGGAUGACGGCCUUCGGGUUGUAAACCGCUUUCGCCUGUGACGAAGCGUGAGUGACGGUAAUGGGUAAAGAAGCACCGGCUAACUACGUGCCAGCAGCCGCGGUGAUACGUAGGGUGCGAGCGUUGUCCGGAUUUAUUGGGCGUAAAGGGCUCGUAGGUGGUUGAUCGCGUCGGAAGUGUAAUCUUGGGGCUUAACCCUGAGCGUGCUUUCGAUACGGGUUGACUUGAGGAAGGUAGGGGAGAAUGGAAUCCCUGGUGGAGCGGUGGAAUGCGCAGAUAUCAGGAGGAACACCAGUGGCGAAGGCGGUUCUCUGGGCCUUUCCUGACGCUGAGGAGCGAAAGCGUGGGGAGCGAACAGGCUUAGAUACCCUGGUAGUCCACGCUGUAAACGGUGGGUACUAGGUGUGGGGUCCAUUCCACGGGUUCCGUGCCGUAGCUAACGCUUUAAGUACCCCGCCUGGGGAGUACGGCCGCAAGGCUAAAACUCAAAGGAAUUGACGGGGCCCCGCACAAGCGGCGGAGCAUGCGGAUUAAUUCGAUGCAACGCGUAGAACCUUACCUGGGUUUGACAUGGAUCGGGAGUGCUCAGAGAUGGGUGUGCCUCUUUUGGGGUCGGUUCACAGGUGGUGCAUGCCUGUCGUCAGCUCGUGUCGUGAGAUGUUGGGUUAAGUCCCGCAACGAGCGCAACCCUUGUUCACUGUUGCCAGCACGUUAUGGUGGGGACUCAGUGGAGACCGCCGGGGUCAACUCGGAGGAAGGUGGGGAUGACGUCAAGUCCUCAUGCCCCUUAUGUCCAGGGCUUCACGCAUGCUACAAUGGCUGGUACAGAGAGUGGCGAGCCUGUGAGGGUGAGCGAAUCUCGGAAAGCCGGUCUCAGUUCGGAUUGGGGUCUGCAACUCGACCUCAUGAAGUCGGAGUCGCUAGUAAUCGCAGAUCAGCAACGCUGCGGUGAAUAAGUUCCCGGG
rnacentral:rRNA from 1 species